AGGGGCGUAGUUUAGUUGGUCAAAAUAUCGCACUGUCACUGCGGAGAGCGCGGGUUCAAGUCCCGUCGUCCCUG
rnacentral:tRNA from 1 species